CGUGUAGGCGGCUAGGUAGGUCCGUUGUGAAAACUCGAGGCUCAACCUCGAGACGCCGGCGGAAACCCCCUGGCUAGAGUCCGGAAGAGGAGAGUGGAAUUCCUGGUGUAGCGGUGAAAUGCGCAGAUAUCAGGAAGAACACCCGUGGCGAAGGCGGCUCUCUGGGACGGUACUGACGCUGAGACGCGAAAGCGUGGGGAGCAAACA
rnacentral:rRNA from 1 species